GCUGGGCGUGGCGGCGCAUGCCUGUAAUCCCAGCUACUCAGGAGGCUGAGGCACAAGAAUCACUUGAACCUGGGAGGCGGAGGUGGCAGUGAGCCGAGAUUGUGCCACUGCACCCCAGCCUGGGCGACAGAGUGAGACUCUGUCUCAA
rfam:Pan troglodytes isolate Yerkes chimp pedigree #C0471 (Clint) chromosome 12, whole genome shotgun sequence.